rnacentral:rRNA from 1 species
CGUAGGUGGCAAGCGUUGUCCGGAUUUAUUGGGUUUAAAGGGUGCGUAGGCGGCUCCUUAAGUCAGUGCUGAAAUACUCUAGCUUAACUAGAGGGGUGGCAUUGAUACUGAGGAGCUUGAGUGUAGUCGAGGUAGGCGGAAUUGACGGUGUAGCGGUGAAAUGCUUAGAUAUCGUCAAGAACACCGAUAGUGUAGACAGCUUACUAGGCUACAACUGACGCUGAGGCACGAAAGUGUGGGGAUCAAACAGGAUUAGAUACCCUGGUAGUCCACACUGUAAACGUUGAUUACUCGCUGUUGGCGAUACACAGUCAGCGGCUUAGCGCAAGCGAUAAGUAAUCCACCUGGGGAGUACGCCGGCAACGGUG